GACGAACGCUGGCGGCGUGCUUAACACAUGCAAGUCGAACGGUCAAGCGCCUUCCUUUUUGGUGGGUGUGGAUGAGUGGCGAACGGGUGAGUAACACGUGAGUAACCUGCCCCCUUCUGCUGGAUAACCGCAUGAAAGUGUGGCUAAUACGGGAUAUUCUGAGUCGGUCGCAUGAUGGGUCUGGGAAAGAUAUGGUUUCGGUUGUGGAUGGGCUCGCGGCCUAUCAGCUUGUUGGUGGGGUGAUGGCCUACCAAGGCGGUGACGGGUAGCCGGCCUGAGAGGGUGGACGGUCAUACUGGGACUGAGACACGGAGCCGACUCCUACGGGAGGCAGCAGUGGGUAAUCUUGCACAAUGGGCGCAAGCAUGAUGCAGCGACGCCGCGUGAGGGAUGGAGGCCUGCGCGUUGUGAACCUCUUUCGCGAGAGAAGCAGGGCUGAAUCGUUUGUGGGUGGGUUGACGGUAGCUGGAUAAGAAGCGACGGCUAACUACGUG
rnacentral:rRNA from 1 species